GGGCCGCUAGCUCAAUGGGCAGAGCUGCUGACUUUUAAUCAGUAGGUUCGGGGUUCGAGUCCCCGGCGGCCUA
rnacentral:tRNA from 1 species